CUCCCAACGACUAGGAAUCUGCCUGGUAGUGGGGGACAACGUCUCCCUUGGACGCUAAUACCGCAUACGUCCUACGGGAGAAAGCAGGGGACCUUCGGGCCUUGCGCUAUCAGAUGAGCCUAGGUCGGAUUAGCUAGUUGGUGAGGUAAUGGCUCACCAAGGCGACGAUCCGUAACUGGUCUGAGAGGAUGAUCAGUCACACUGGAACUGAGACACGGUCCAGACUCCUACGGGAGGCAGCAGUGGGGAAUAUUGGACAAUGGGCGAAAGCCUGAUCCAGCCAUGCCGCGUGUGUGAAGAAGGUCUUCGGAUUGUAAAGCACUUUAAGUUGGGAGGAAGGGCAGUAACUUAAUACGUUGCUGUUUUGACGUUACCGACAGAAUAAGCACCGGCUAACUCUGUGCCAGCAGCCGC
rnacentral:rRNA from 1 species